AUAUCUCUAUCUAUGAAAUUCCCCCCAGGCAUUUCUGAUCUAGCUGGUUCUUUGAAUCACUGGUCUUUUUUGUGUGAUUUAUGACCUUUCAGAAUUGAUUCUCUUAAGUCUUAACAUUAUAUCGUCCUUAUACCAUUUAAAUCACUUGGCUUCUUUUCAAUGGUACUGAAUUAUAAAAGCUACAGUUACUGAAAACCACAACGUUCUAUAAUUAUGACUCAAAUGGGUUGAAAAUGGAAAACAUACACAUAUAAAAUUUUGUAGAAAGUCAAGGAGGAAAAAAAUCCUAGCUGCCAACAAUUUCCCAUGUUGAGACCUCAUGUUGCAACUUUCUCCCAAAGUGAAUUUUAUGUCGGAGCCAUAAAGAUCUAAGAGCCCCUCGAGGGAAUGCUGGCAGCAGCUCUCGCAGGCCAUUAGAAUCACCUCUUCCAUCCCUCCCCACCCCCAGCCACUUCAGUAAAGACUUUCAGCCUCUCUAAGAGCUCCCCGCACAAACUAUCAAUAAUUCACUGUUUUCUAACAUGAUCAUUUGUAAGAGAUAUUUUUCUGUUACUGCUGUCAACAAAAACCUGUUUAAUUCACACAGAUUAUUAUUUUCCCCAUAUGUUCCGCAACUCAGAGCUAUAAAUAGACAACACGAAUGUUACCCACAAUGUACAAAUAGAGAAGCAGCAUGACAUGGCCAACGGCGUUGUUCAAUAUUAGAAAACUGCGUUAAUGUGUAAUUGCAAAAAUCUGAAAACUGGUCCUAAAAAUGAAUGGGUUAAAAGUCAUCCAGUAACAAAAAACAAACCAACAAAACGAUACGGUCCCAAAUCAGUGCAAAAUUUAUUCUAAGAAAAAUCUUUAUCUAGCAUCUUGAAUUUUUAACAUCAGCUCCUUUAAAGUGAAGCCAAGUUUGUUCUUCUCUUAAACGUACAUUAUUUCCUUUCUGAAAGGCAUCCUUUCAGGUG
rnacentral:lncRNA from 1 species